rnacentral:misc_RNA from 1 species
CAGAGUACGGCGCCCCCGGGCGCCCGCUCCAACCCAAUGUCUACCUCGAAUCGUUGCCUCGGCGGGCCGGCGCACCACGCGCCGCCGGCUCACCCCGGAUAGUGCCCGCCAGAGGACAUGUAAAUACUGCUCACGGUGUCUUCCGAGUCAGAUUUUAAAUGUAUCA